GAUGAACGCUAGCGGCAGGCCUAACACAUGCAAGUCGAGGGAGGAGCUUUCGGGCUUCGACCGGCGUACGGGUGCGUAACGCGUAUACAAUCUGCCUUUCACAUAGGGAUAGCCCGAAGAAAUUUGGAUUAAUACCUAAUGGUAUAUAGGAGUGGCAUCACAUUUAUAUUAAAGCUGAGGCGGUGAAAGAUGAGUAUGCGUUCUAUUAGCUAGUUGGAGAGGUAACGGCUCCCCAAGGCGACGAUAGAUAGGGGUUCUGAGAGGGAUAUCCCCCACACUGGUACUGAGAUACGGACCAGACUCCUACGGGAGGCAGCAGUGAGGAAUAUUGGACAAUGGUCGGAAGACUGAUCCAGCCUUGCCGCGUGCAGGAAGACGGCCUUAUGGGUUGUAAACUGCUUUUGCAGGGGAAGAAUAAGGACUACGAGUAGUUUGAUGACGGUACUCUGCGAAUAAGCAUCGGCUAACUCCGUG
rnacentral:rRNA from 1 species